GACGAGCGCUGGCGGCGUGCCUAAUACAUGCAAGUAGAACGCACAGUUUAUACCGUAGCUUGCUACACCAUAGACUGUGAGUUGCGAACGGGUGAGUAACGCGUAGGUAACCUGCCUGGUAGCGGGGGAUAACUAUUGGAAACGAUAGCUAAUACCGCAUAAUAUUAAUUAUUGCAUGAUAAUUAAUUGAAAGGUGCAAUUGCACCACUACCAGAUGGACCUGCGUUGUAUUAGCUAGUAGGUGAGGUAACGGCUCACCUAGGCGACGAUACAUAGCCGACCUGAGAGGGUGAUCGGCCACACUGGGACUGAGACACGGCCCAGACUCCUACGGGAGGCAGCAGUAGGGAAUCUUCGGCAAUGGACGAAAGUCUGACCGAGCAACGCCGCGUGAGUGAAGAAGGGUUUCGGAUCGUAAAGCUCUGUUGUAAGAGAAGAACGGGUGUGAGAGUGGAAAGUUCACACUGUGACGGUAUCUUACCAGAAAGGGACGGCUAACUACGUG
rnacentral:rRNA from 1 species